AUCUAUUCUGUGCACCUGUUAGCAAGAUGUGUCCUAAGGCACAAGAAUCACAGUAAUUAACCCUGCUCAACAAUCUACACUCAAUCAUCCGCCACUCCGUUGGCUUAGAGAAUUCAGCAGAAAUGGAUGUCCAGUCUUAGAGCUUUACCUCCACGAUGAUAAUAAUGGAGUAUAACUGUAAAGUAAAGCCCAUCCAUGGAAUUUAUUACUACACCACAGAAAUAGGACCCAUUCUGUGUCCAAACCUUCAGAACAUUCCAGAGAUGGCACAGAAAGAUAAAAGGCAAAGACAAGCACAGUGCCAGUUGCAAGCCAUAUACCAAGACCUGUGAGUUUUCUCUCGAUGGUGUGGAAAACCAGACAAAGUGAAAUUAUGGAUUCCUUGAAAUGUGUUCUUCAAGGCCAGAGAUGAAAAAGCCUAGAAUGUUCUUCAUGACUAGGUUAAGCUGGUGAAGAAGCAGGUCAGAUAAGAUGCGGUUUGUGAGCAAUCCGUGAACUUCAUUCAUCGAUGACCAUCCUUUCCUCU